UACGUAGGGACCGAGCGUUGUCCGGAAUCAUUGGGCGUAAAGAGCGUGUAGGCGGCCUUUUAAGUCCUGCGUGAAAUCUCGGGGCUCAACCCCGAGCGGUCGUGAGAAACUGGCAGGCUAGAGUGCGGGAGAGGAGAGUGGAAUUCCUGGUGUAGCGGUGAAAUGCGCAGAUAUCAGGAAGAACACCCGUGGCGAAGGCGGCUCUCUGGAACGCAACUGACGCUGAGACGCGAAAGCGUGGGGAGCAAACAGG
rnacentral:rRNA from 1 species